rnacentral:rRNA from 1 species
AUGGUAGCCCCGGCUGCCGACGUCUCGGCUCGCCGUGGCACGGUUGUCGCCGUGGCCAGGUGCACGACCGCUGUGGCUGACGCGGAGAGGGCCCUCGUGCGCCGCGGUGUGGUGGCCACCGUGAUCGGGGAUCCCUCCUCCCUGCUCCUGACGGAGGUCAAGUUCGCGAUGACCAGGCACUUCCGUGUCUUGGAGGAGGCCAUUGAGGUGUUCGUGCAUGCGCCGGGGGAGUACCUGCUCGUCUUCGCCGACCACAAUGUUCGGGUCUGCUUGGAGAACAUACCCAAGCAUGCUUGGGAUCUGGAAUCCGUCCGCAACCUGUUCGACCCGGCGUCCAUCCUCAACUCCAUCGACAACGAGGUUCGCUCUGAGGAGGAAACAGGCUGUUUCCGCCUUUGGAUGUGGAUGGCGGAUAUUGAUAAGCUCCGCACCAGAGGGCAGCUCGAGCUUGAAGAACCCCGCGAGAUUGGCUCGCCGGACAUGCACUUCCCGGAGAUCGGCAUGUUCGAGGAGGUCCCAGAGCGCUGGGGCCAGGUGCCCCUGCUCAGCCACGACGUGCUCAUCCACCUCGACUACGUGAUCGACUUCUCCUCCCCGCCCACCUCCAACUCUGACAACAACUACAACGACCACAACGAUAUCAGCGGGCAUCCUUCGGAGGUGGAUAUGACUCCGAAGUGGCCGGCCAAGUGGGGAUACCGCUGGUUCUUUGGCUUCGAGGAUGGUGAUUUCCUGCCUCCACCGCCCCCCGCGUCCCGGCCCACUCCAGACUCCGGUUCCCUAAUGAUGAUGGUGCGGGGCAUGGGGGCGGCCAUGGCGGUGCUGGCUCUAGCAGGCAUGGUGGCGGUGAUCGGCGACGUCUCGGCGGCGAGGCUGGACGCGACCACGAGCUUGGCGGCCGCCGCCGCGGUUCUGGUUCGGCGGCUGCCUCCUUCCGUCAUCGACGCAGCCCUAACGGCAUGGAGCGCCGUGAUCACAGGCGUGCUGCUUUCGGUGCUGGAGGGGAUCCGCCGACAACGGCUUUUGUCGCCGCCCCUGCUUCUCCCGCCUGCUGUUGCGCCCAAGAUGAUGGCCACGCCCACCAGGGUGACCAAGCCCCCUCCGCCGUGCGGUGGUGGACCUGCUGGCCGGCACAGUGGGAGGCUGGCUGCCAAGCCCAGCUGCAGGCUGCCCUCCAUGGAGGAGGCCAGGCUGGUUCUGCUCAAGAAGAAUGGUCUUAUCCCUGCCGCGGAUGAGGCCCCGUCAGACAACGCCCUGCGGCGGUACAAGGAGCUCUUCCAGCAACCGAUGUCAGCCCAAUUCAUUGAGGCUGUUACCUCUCUGGUUCCUGGGGGCGCCAAGCUGAAGACGAGCAAGCGCCCGGGGACUGCUCCCUCUGGCCCGGUUAGUGGAGGGUCGGCUCGGUAUGGAUUGUCCGGCCUUUGUACCUGUACUGGAUACUGCUUCCUCCCUGUAUCAUCUGUGUCUGACAAGUCUAAUACUGUUGUCUACGGCCCUCAAGAUUCAGCUGCCAAGAUUGAGAUGAUGCAUGAGAUGGUUCGAAUCGAGGAUCUGGUGUUGGAUAAAUGGCUUGUCGCUGGGGAUUUUAACAUGAUCUGCAGGGCUUGUGAGAAAAGCAAUGACAACCUGAACCUUCAGCUCAUGGGCAGGUUCAGAAACACUAUCGUUCAACUAGAGCUCAGGGAGUUCCACCUGCAUGGUCGCCGCUUCACGUGGUCGAACAAAAGGGAGCAAACCACACUCACCAUGAUUAAUCGAGUCCUGGCCUCCAUUGCUUGGGAGGAGGCGUAUCCCAACUACCAGCUGACGUCUACCUCCAGCGAUAUUUCUGACCACCACCCGCUGGUCCUUUCUUGCAUGGUCCGACCAAGGUUCAAAGGUUUCAGAUUCAAAGAGGCCUGGCACAAGAUAGAGGGCAUUACUGAGGUUGUCCAAGAGGCUUGGCUUAAGGAUCUUCAGGCUUCUGACGCCAUCCGGGUUCUUCAUAUCAAGUUGGCCAGGACUGCUAAGGCCCUAAAGAAAUGGAGCAAAGCUAAUCACGCCGCGGCUGACCUUGCUUUCGGCAUUGCAAACGAGGUUAUCUUCCAGUUGGACAUUGCCAUGGAGGCCAGACCACUAUCCGAGGCCGAAUGGGAGUUAAGGAAGUUUUUGAAAGCAAAACUCCUUGGCCUGGCUGCUGUGGAGAAAAUCAGAUGGAAGCAACGAGCUCGGCUCUUGAGAAUUAAAGUCGGCAAUGCAAAUACAAAGCUGUUCCGUCUUCGGGCAAAUGGUCGUAGGCGGAAGAACCACAUUCCUAGUCUGCUAGGAGCUGAUGGGAUGGUUUCUGAACAUGCGAGCAAGGCUGAUAUUCUGCUACAACACUUCUCUUCCAUCAUGGGCUCCUCCCAUCAGCGCACUGUGGGUCUCAACUGGGCUGCUCUUAACCUGCCUAGGGCGUAG